GAAUUGUUCCAUCUUGGUUCCAUCCAAAUUUGUGAACUUGCCUUGUGAAACCUCACUUUCACCUCUGAGGGUUUCUCGCAAAAAGGCGUGUAGGUGUUUCAGCAUGCCUUG